AAUUAAAAAGCAAAAAUUGCAUCUAGUUUCGGCCUAGACUUUGAUACAUUAUAUCUUUAAUUA
rnacentral:tRNA from 1 species